GCAUAAUCACUAGUCUUUUAAUUGAAGGCUCGUAUGAAUGGUUGGACGAAAAAUAAUCUGUCUCUUAGUUGAAAUCUGAAUUUAACAUUUAAGUGAAAAGGCUUAAAUAAAGUAAAAAGACGAUAAGACCCUAUAAAUCUUUACACUAUUAAAAGAUUUAAAGCUAGAUAUUAGUAAAAUGUUGUUAGAUGGUUUAAGGUGUUUUGUUGGGGCAACAUAAAUAUAAAUUUAUCUGUUUAUAAAUAAUUACAAAAAUUUUUGAAUAAGCCUAUAAGAUCCUUUAUAGAGAUUAUAAGAUUAAGUUACUUUAGGGAUAACAGCGUUAUUUUACUUGAGAGUUCAUAUCGAAAGUAAAGUUUGCGACCUCGAUGUUGAAUUAAAAUUUCU
rnacentral:rRNA from 1 species